CCUACGGGAGGCAGCAGUAGGGAAUUUUCGUCAAUGGGCGCAAGCCUGAACGAGCAAUGCCGCGUGAACGAGGAAGGUCUUCGGAUCGUAAAGUUCUGUUGAAGGGGAAAUAGAGCGGAGAGAGGAAAUGCUUUCUGAUUGAUAUUACCCUUCGAGGAAGUCACGGCUAAUGACGUGCCAGCCGCCGCGGUGAUACGUAGGGUGCGUGCGUUAUCCGGAAUGAUUGGGUGUAAAGGGUGCGUAGGCGGCCUGCUAAGUCUGGAGUGAAAGGGAGCGGCUCAACCGGUACAGGUACUGGAAACUGGCGAGCUAGAGGGAAGGAGAGGGCGGUGGAACUCCAUGUGUAGCGGUAAAAUGCGUAGGUAUAUGGAAGAACAUCAGUGGCGAAGGCGGCCGCCUGGCCUGUUAACUGACGCUGAGGCACGAAAGCGUGGGGAGCAAAUAGGAUUAGAUACCCUGGUAGUC
rnacentral:rRNA from 1 species